AACGAACGCUGGCGGCAGGCUUAACACAUGCAUGUCGAGCGCCCCGCAAGGGGAGCGGCAGACGGGUGAGUAACGCGUGGGAAUCUACCCAUCUCUACGGAAUAACGCAUGGAAACGUGUGCUAAUACCGUAUACGUCCUUCGGGAGAAAGAUUUAUCGGAGAUGGAUGAGCCCGCGUUGGAUUAGCUAGUUGGUGGGGUAAAGGCCUACCAAGGCGACGAUCCAUAGCUGGUCUGAGAGGAUGAUCAGCCACACUGGGACUGAGACACGGCCCAGACUCCUACGGGAGGCAGCAGUGGGGAAUAUUGGACAAUGGGCGCAAGCCUGAUCCAGCCAUGCCGCGUGAGUGAUGAAGGCCCUAGGGUUGUAAAGCUCUUUCACCGGUGAAGAUAAUGACGGUAACCGGAGAAGAAGCCCCGGCUAACUUCGUGCCAGCCGCCGCGUAAUAC
rnacentral:rRNA from 1 species